rnacentral:rRNA from 1 species
AUUGAACGCUGGCGGCAGGCCUAACACAUGCAAGUCGAACGGUAACAGGAAGAAGCUUGCUUCUUUGCUGACGAGUGGCGGACGGGUGAGUAAUGUCUGGGAAACUGCCUGAUGGAGGGGGAUAACUACUGGAAACGGUAGCUAAUACCGCAUAACGUCGCAAGACCAAAGAGGGGGACCUUCGGGCCUCUUGCCAUCGGAUGUGCCCAGAUGGGAUUAGCUAGUAGGUGGGGUAACGGCUCACCUAGGCGACGAUCCCUAGCUGGUCUGAGAGGAUGACCAGCCACACUGGAACUGAGACACGGUCCAGACUCCUACGGGAGGCAGCAGUGGGGAAUAUUGCACAAUGGGCGCAAGCCUGAUGCAGCCAUGCCGCGUGUAUGAAGAAGGCCUUCGGGUUGUAAAGUACUUUCAGCGGGGAGGAAGGGAGUAAAGUUAAUACCUUUGCUCAUUGACGUUACCCGCAGAAGAAGCACCGGCUAACUCCGUGC